rnacentral:rRNA from 1 species
CGAGCGGACAGAUGGGAGCUUGCUCCCUGAUGUUAGCGGCGGACGGGUGAGUAACACGUGGGUAACCUGCCUGUAAGACUGGGAUAACUCCGGGAAACCGGGGCUAAUACCGGAUGCUUGUUUGAACCGCAUGGUUCAAACAUAAAAGGUGGCUUCGGCUACCACUUACAGAUGGACCCGCGGCGCAUUAGCUAGUUGGUGAGGUAAUGGCUCACCAAGGCAACGAUGCGUAGCCGACCUGAGAGGGUGAUCGGCCACACUGGGACUGAGACACGGCCCAGACUCCUACGGGAGGCAGCAGUAGGGAAUCUUCCGCAAUGGACGAAAGUCUGACGGAGCAACGCCGCGUGAGUGAUGAAGGUUUUCGGAUCGUAAAGCUCUGUUGUUAGGGAAGAACAAGUACCGUUCGAAUAGGGCGGUACCUUGACGGUACCUAACCAGAAAGCCACGGCUAACUACGUGCCAGCAGCCGCGGUAAUACGUAGGUGGCAAGCGUUGUCCGGAAUUAUUGGGCGUAAAGGGCUCGCAGGCGGUUUCUUAAGUCUGAUGUGAAAGCCCCCGGCUCAACCGGGGAGGGUCAUUGGAAACUGGGGAACUUGAGUGCAGAAGAGGAGAGUGGAAUUCCACGUGUAGCGGUGAAAUGCGUAGAGAUGUGGAGGAACACCAGUGGCGAAGGCGACUCUCUGGUCUGUAACUGACGCUGAGGAGCGAAAGCGUGGGGAGCGAACAGGAUUAGAUACCCUGGUAGUCCACGCCGUAAACGAUGAGUGCUAAGUGUUAGGGGGUUUCCGCCCCUUAGUGCUGCAGCUAACGCAUUAAGCACUCCGCCUGGGGAGUACGGUCGCAAGACUGAAACUCAAAGGAAUUGACGGGGGCCCGCACAAGCGGUGGAGCAUGUGGUUUAAUUCGAAGCAACGCGAAGAACCUUACCAGGUCUUGACAUCCUCUGACAAUCCUAGAGAUAGGACGUCCCCUUCGGGGGCAGAGUGACAGGUGGUGCAUGGUUGUCGUCAGCUCGUGUCGUGAGAUGUUGGGUUAAGUCCCGCAACGAGCGCAACCCUUGAUCUUAGUUGCCAGCAUUCAGUUGGGCACUCUAAGGUGACUGCCGGUGACAAACCGGAGGAAGGUGGGGAUGACGUCAAAUCAUCAUGCCCCUUAUGACCUGGGCUACACACGUGCUACAAUGGACAGAACAAAGGGCAGCGAAACCGCGAGGUUAAGCCAAUCCCACAAAUCUGUUCUCAGUUCGGAUCGCAGUCUGCAACUCGACUGCGUGAAGCUGGAAUCGCUAGUAA